rnacentral:misc_RNA from 1 species
AAUUCUCAACUUCACCGAUUUGCUUUGUGUGAAGCUUGGAUUUGGAGUGUGCUGGACCUUGUUUUGGGUCGGCUCCUCUUUAAAUGCAGCAGCGGAGUCUUCUUUGACUUUUGUGGUGUUGGUGUGAUAAUUAUGUUGCGCCGUUGGCCCGUGGGUCUCAGUCCGCUUAGAAUUGUCUUUGGACAACUUAUGUAAC